AACGAACGCUGGCGGCAGGCCUAACACAUGCAAGUCGAGCGCACCUUCGGGUGAGCGGCGGACGGGUUAGUAACGCGUGGGAACGUACCCUUUUCUACGGAAUAGCCUUUGGAAACGAAGAGUAAUACCGUAUACGCCCUUUGGGGGAAAGAUUUAUCGGAGAAGGAUCGGCCCGCGUUAGAUUAGAUAGUUGGUGGGGUAACGGCCUACCAAGUCUACGAUCUAUAGCUGGUUUUAGAGGAUGAUCAGCAACACUGGGACUGAGACACGGCCCAGACUCCUACGGGAGGCAGCAGUGGGGAAUCUUAGACAAUGGGCGCAAGCCUGAUCUAGCCAUGCCGCGUGAGUGAUGAAGGCCUUAGGGUCGUAAAGCUCUUUCGCCUGUGAUGAUAAUGACAGUAGCAGGUAAAGAAACCCCGGCUAACUCCGUGCCAGCAGCCGCGGUAAUACGGAGGGGGUUAGCGUUGUUCGGAAUUACUGGGCGUAAAGCGCACGUAGGCGGAUUGGAAAGUUGGGGGUGAAAUCCCGGGGCUCAACCCCGGAACUGCCUCCAAAACUAUCAGUCUAGAGUUCGAGAGAGGUGAGUGGAAUUCCAAGUGUAGAGGUGAAAUUCGUAGAUAUUUGGAGGAACACCAGUGGCGAAGGCGGCUCACUGGCUCGAUACUGACGCUGAGGUGCGAAAGUGUGGGGAGCAAACAGGAUUAGAUACCCUGGUAGUCCACACCGUAAACGAUGAAUGCCAGUCGUCGGGCAGUAUACUGUUCG
rnacentral:rRNA from 1 species